rnacentral:piRNA from 1 species
UACUUGGUAUAGGAUGACUGCCCACCAGU